rnacentral:rRNA from 1 species
UUAAAAAGCUCGUAGUUGGAUCUCGGCGGGCAGGGGGUGGUUCGCUCUUCAGCGCUACUGCCCCGCUUUGCCCGUGUGAUUGGCGGAGGUUUCGGGGUGCUCUUCGUUGAGUGACUCGGAGCGCCGUCAGGUUUACUUUGAAAAAAUUAGAGUGCUCAAAGCAGGCUUUUCACGCUUGAAUAUUCGUGCAUAGAAUAAUGGAAUAGGAACUCGUUUCUAUUUUGUUGGCUUUUCGGAAAUCGAGUUAAUGAUUAACAGGGACAAUUGGGGGCAUUAGUAUUCAGACGACAGAGGAGAAAUUCUUGGACCGUCUGAAGACUGACUACUGCGAAAGCAUUUUGCCAAGAGUGUUUUCAUUAAUCAAGAACGAAAGUUAGAGGUUCGAAGGCGAUCAGAUACCGCCCUAGCUCUAACCAUAAACGAUGCCCAGCUAGC